CUUUCAAUAAUACCUUCUGGGCUGGUAAUACCUUUCAGAUUUAGGGUUUUAUAGCUAAUAUCGCAGAUUUGUCUCAUGGAUUUUGAUGUUUUCCCCUGUCAUUUCUUUUUUAUUAAGGAUUUUUGGAUAAUCUGUGAGUUGAGCUGAUUUUCAUCUUCUUACUUCAAAUCUUCGUGUGCGUAUCCAUGUGUUGUUGUAUAGAGAUUCAUUUGCUUGUGAUUUUUGCUCUUUGUUUUGUGCAUGUCGAACUAUCAGAACAUAUUCCGGAUACUGGUCUUUGUGGUGUGGUGCUGCAUUCUAAGGCUUUGCAAUCACAAAUUAAGAUGCAAGUUAGAUACAAUAUGUUUGAUUGCAUUUGUUUUUGGAUUUUUGUGUAUCCAAUUGCUGUUUAGGUUGAGAACAUGUAUGGAAAUGAUGACGGUGAGUUUAGCAGUUUAUUACUAGUUUCAAGGGGCUGUGGGUAUUUGAAUUUCUUACUGGUGUGAUAAAUUUUCAAGCUUGUAUGGGGUAAAAGUUAAUUGAGUUUGGUGAAAAAUGAGGCAAAUUGGUAUAAAGAUAAGAUAUGAGGGAGCAUAUGGAGCAGAUCUGCAGGUUGAACAUAAAUUGUGGGAGUUAAGCGCAAAACGAUGAGCGAAAAAACAAACAGGCUGAAUCUGCCUGUUUAGUUACGCAAAACCAACAUCACAAAUGUAAACUCUGCAUCUGCAUGCUAUUUCAGUAUUUCUUCCUCUGGAUCUUAUUAUUUAUUUCAGGAUGACCACGUGAACUCCAUCUUGGAAGGUAUUUCAAACCGAGCAUGCAGUCAAGGGAUUGCUGAAGAUGAACUGGCAACCUUGUAGUCCAUCUUGGUGAAGCUUCUUUCUUAUGACGAGGAUUUACAAUACGUAAUUGCUAUGACCCCUUUUCUGAAGAUCUUGGAUUUAAUGCAUGGAAGUUCACAAAGCAUCGUCAAUAUGCAGAUCCUUGACAUGGGGAUAAGACAUUCAGAAGUCCCAACUUGUGAACUUUCGGGAACUAUUCAAAUUUACCCAUAGUGUGCACUUCCAUGAGUUCCAUCAAUUUU